CAGUAGCCGCGGGAAUACGAAGGGGGCUAGCGUUGUUCGGAUUUACUGGGCGUAAAGGGCGCGUAGGCGGACUGAUAAGUCAGGGGUGAAAUCCCAAGGCUCAACCUUGGAACUGCCCUUGAUACUGUUUGUCUUGAGCUCGAGAGAGGUAAGUGGAACUGCGAGUGUAGAGGUGAAAUUCGUAGAUAUUCGCAAGAACACCAGUGGCGAAGGCGGCUUACUGGCUCGAAACUGACGCUGAGGCGCGAAAGCGUGGGGAGCAAACAGGAUUAGAUACCCCCGUAGUCCCUGUCUCUUAUAC
rnacentral:rRNA from 1 species